rnacentral:sRNA from 1 species
UGACCAUAGAGUAGCUCGAAUGGUGUAA